rnacentral:rRNA from 1 species
UUGAACGCUGGCGGCAGGCCUAACACAUGCAAGUCGAACGGUAACAGGAAGCAGCUUGCUGCUUUGCUGACGCGUGGCGGACGGGUGAGUAAUGUCUGGGAAACUGCCUGAUGGAGGGGGAUAACUACUGGAAACGGUAGCUAAUACCGCAUAAUGUCGCAAGACCAAAGAGGGGGACCUUCGGGCCUCUUGCCAUCGGAUGUGCCCAGAUGGGAUUAGCUAGUAGGUGGGGUAAAGGCUCACCUAGGCGACGAUCCCUAGCUGGUCUGAGAGGAUGACCAGCCACACUGGAACUGAGACACGGUCCAGACUCCUACGGGAGGCAGCAGUGGGGAAUAUUGCACAAUGGGCGCAAGCCUGAUGCAGCCAUGCCGCGUGUAUGAAGAAGGCCUUCGGGUUGUAAAGUACUUUCAGCGGGGAGGAAGGGAGUAAAGUUAAUACCUUUGCUCAUUGACGUUACCCGCAGAAGAAGCACCGGCUAACUCCGUG